GACGCAGUGGCGCCGUGGUUAGCACUGUCGCCUCACAGCAAGAAGGUCGUGGGUUCGAUUCCGGCCUGGGGCC